rnacentral:rRNA from 1 species
CCUACGGGAGGCAGCAGUAGGGAAUCUUCCACAAUGGGCGAAAGCCUGAUGGAGCAACGCCGCGUGGGUGAAGAAGGUCUUCGGAUCGUAAAACCCUGUUGUUAGAGAAGAAAGUGCGUGAGAGUAACUGUUCACGUUUCGACGGUAUCUAACCAGAAAGCCACGGCUAACUACGUGCCAGCAGCCGCGGUAAUACGUAGGUGGCAAGCGUUAUCCGGAUUUAUUGGGCGUAAAGGGAACGCAGGCGGUCUUUUAAGUCUGAUGUGAAAGCUUUCGGCUUAACCGGAGUAGUGCAUUGGAAACUGGGUGACUUGAGUGUAGAAGAGGAGAGUGGAACUCCAUGUGUAGCGGUGAAAUGCGUAGAUAUAUGGAAGAACACCAGUGGCGAAAGCGGCUCUCUGGUCUGUAACUGACGCUGAGGUUCGAAAGCGUGGGUAGCAAACAGGAUUAGAUACCCGGGUAGUC